rnacentral:rRNA from 1 species
CAAUCUCAGUUCAGACUGCAGGCUGCAACUCGCCUGCACGAAGUCGGAAUUGCUAGUAAUCGUAGGUCAGCAUGCCGCGGUGAAUACGUUCCCGGGCCUUGUACACACCGCCCGUCACACCAUGAGAGUCGGGAACACCCGAAGUCCGUAGCCUAACCGCAAGGGGGCGCGGCCGAAGGUGGGUUCGAUAAUUGGGUGAAGUCGUAACAAGGUAUC